UGAAUUGAAUUGAAUUAAAGCUGUAGAAUAGCGAAUAUUUAAGACUAGAAUUUCAUGCAUUGGUUUAAUAUUUCAUCCUGCUAAUAAGGAGAGCAAAUGGCUGUACAGAGAGUCGAAGAUAUUAUCGCCUGUUUCAAGCAUUUCCAUUUGACUACGUGUUGUUCAAAUCUUAUUGUGAUGGUAAUUCAUCCUUGAUAGUGUUGGAAGUGACCGUAAAUUAUGCAAGACCUUUACCAGGCAUCACAAAUUGAAUCCUCGGUGCAUGAAUCCGUUUACCUUGUGGGAAAAGUGUGAAGCGAGACAGUACCAACUAAUGUCUGUUACAAGUAUGACGCCCAUGCAGCCCUUCCGGUAAAUUGAGGACUACAAGUUGCAUCAUUUUGCUGACGGAUACUAGGUUAUUUUGGAUGAGAUCUCACUCGCUGGUCACUUCUAUUAACUUUUGUACCUAGAAGAAUCUGGGUUAACUUUGACAUAUUUGACUGAAGCCUGUGGCCUCCAUAUUGUAAUAUUGCGUUUAUUCAAGUUCUGCAAUCUUGUACAACAUGUUGCAUCAGUACUUUGUAAAUACCUAAAAGGAAAACUGGUUCGUCUUGCAUUAUAUUUUUCAUUUAAACUUUGAUAUUUGAACUAUUUUGGAGCAAGUUCACAAACCUGUUAUUCGAAAUAUUAAGUCUUCCAAAGAUGACUUAAAUUUUGUAAAUAUAGAUUUGUAAGUAAAAUUAAGAUUUAAAAUCUGAACAAAUAUUCUGUUUAUACAUUAAAAUGCCUUUAUUUGCCCUCUCUAACCUGAACUCUAAUGCAAGCGACUGAAAUGAGGCAGGUGCUUUAGUUUGUGCGUCCAAAUCUCAAGAGUCAGUCUAUUAAAGAAAUUUCAUCUCGAAAUUUCUUAAUCUUUUCUUGCUCGCAUAAUUUAAAGUUAAUAGAAUUUGCGAAAUCUGCCAGCAUCGCUUUACAGUAGUAAAAAGAUGCUAAAACCUGGAUUAUGGGACAAUUUCAGAGCACUCUUUUCACGCGCAAGUUUUGUCGUUUUGAUAUCAAGUGCAUCUUGUUUGUACCAGAUAGAUGAUCUGGUUUCUUGCACUUCAGUAUGAGUAACCACGUCUUUUUUUACUUCAUUCGUAGGUAUAAUGUAUUUUACAUUCUCAGGCACAAUAGUUGUAGGUUUCUCAUCUAAUACUUUCCUAAAAUCACGAUUCACGUUUCCUUCUUCGUUUUCCCAUCUUCUGUUGAGUUGGAAUCUUUGUUUCUGGUUGCAGAGGCGUGAAAGGCUAUUGAACUGUCCGGAAACAAGGCGGUACAUUUUCUUCAGUUUAUUUGCUUCUGUCUUCAAGUUUGCACAACUUCACAAAUAAACUACUACACAUUAAUCAAAAGUAUUAAAAUAGAUUCAAAAUCAUUUUAACUAGUUUUUCUAUUUAAAUAAACAGAAUAUAACUUGUCGACAUGUAUAUUUUUUUCAUUACCAAUACAACAGUGAGUUCAAAGAAAGAUCAAAUAUUUGGCAAAGCAGCACAGACCAAUAAUUCUGCUACAACAUGAAUAUUUGGAAAUUAUUUCGCUAGCUUUAAUAGGAUCUCCACUGAAUUCCACAUCUUUGAUUCUGCGAAUAUCGGUGUUUUGAGCUAUUAACUUGAAGCGCGAUAAAAAGCAGAAAACAUGCUAGAUAAAUAACUCCCUGCAGGUAACCUUAAAGCUUUUGAAACCCUAUAUAAUUAAAAUGCGUGUGAAUUUCAAAUUUGCCUUAAUGAUAGUUUCUUUGAAAAUUAAUCGUAACUUGGUUGGUUUGAAAAUCGGAUUUUUCCAAUUUUGAAAGCAUGAAGUUAAGCUUGUAUAAGACAAAGGUUUUCCCUUAUUGGCUAGUAAAAUUUCCAAUCGACUUGAUUAGAAACAUUUAACUGAUCUUACAGAACUAACAUUUAACCAAAUUUAUCAAAACCAUUCUCACUUUUAUUUUAUCCUCUCCUUACCUGAAGUCAAGUUAUGAUGAUUUCUCACAAAUGGGGUCACUGAAAAUCUAUGCAUUUGACAUAAUGUCCCGAGAAGAAAUUAAGCCCAGAAAUAGGAUAAUGGAAGGAGACAAGGGGCACCUUUCCCUAAUUAGAGAAUCGUAGAGGGGAGGAAUAGGCACCAGCCGGCUGGUAAAAGGGAGGGAAUUAGUCUUGGUUUAUUGCUCACUCUUAUACAGUUUUAACUUAUACUUUCAAUUUUGGAAAUAUUGGAGCUCAAAUUAUCAAUGGAAAAAAUAUAAACAAAUUAAACUCGGUUUUUUCUGACAGCUCGUAAUUUCUUUCUCCUGGUAGAAAAUUGAAUUCCUUCGCAAGUGAAAUUAUUAAACUUCUAUUUAAACAAUAAGAUGUAAAUAAAGCUUAAUUUUCGAGAAACGCCUAGGUGUUAAAUAUAUAAAUUAAAUAUUUUGAAGGGGUUUCCUGAAUGUUUUUCGGUAGAUUCUUGAAUAUUCAUUUUCAUAGCAGAAUUAGUGGUUGGUUCUGCUUAUCUAAAUCUUCGUUAAGUCGCAGCAUAAGAGUCGAUUCAUAAACUUAUUAAAAUUGUGCAUGACAUAGCAUAUUUUACGAGUUCCUCUCUUAGUUUACUCAAGAUUAAUUUCUUACAAAUGGCAAGAUUAAAGCGUUCGAUUAAUGCAUGUUUUGGAGACGAGUCGAAAGUUCAUGCCCUUUCAAAGCGGAUUUUCAAAAAGGAAACAUGCCAUCGACAAUUGUUGAAACUAAAAACGGUUAUUCGUAAAGCCUUGUGUGCAAAAAAUCUCAAUUUUUUUAGACAUACGAAAGGCGUACGAUCGCACAGUGCGAUAUGGAAUCUUAAGAUUUGACGUUGGUUUAA